NGAGAGAGAGAGAGAGAGGAAAGGAAGACGCAGCAAAGCAGCAGCAGCAGCAAAUGGUGAAGAACGGUGCAGCAUUGCUUACCAAAGCACAGAAAAGGAAUGGUGCAGCAGUGGCAGUCACGGGUAGCAGCCAAAGCAGAGAGAAAUAAAUCAGAAGAAAACUCUCUCUCUCACUCUCUCUCUAGUACUCCUUGUUCUUAUACUCAUAAAUAAAAGCUCUCACUCCUCUUAUUAGCACAUUUUUAAGAAUGGUUUUUGCUUCUGGGCUUAUGUUUUUGGCAUGCAUUCGGUCCGUUUCCUUAUCUGGGUACAUCACCUAUCCUUGUAGAGGGAUUUCGUAGUGUAAUUGCUUCCUGGGUGAUCACCCUUUUGUUUCGUUAUUUAUUGGCUGGCAUUUUAUUUUUAUUUCAUGUUGCUUUCUUCUGGGUUUUGAUUCUAUGGUGUGGCUGGUCAGCCUGCCUGCGGAAAUAGUCUGUGUAUAGAGAAAGUUUUGGUGUAAUGAAUGCCUUUUGAUCUCUCUCUCUCUCUCUCUGGAUCUUCAAAGCGAAGUUUCCAUCUAUUUUUUUUGUGUUUUG
rnacentral:lncRNA from 1 species